rnacentral:rRNA from 1 species
AUAAGGAGCUUGCUCCUUUGACGUUAGCGGCGGACGGGUGAGUAACACGUGGAUAACCUACCUAUAAGACUGGGAUAACUUCGGGAAACCGGAGCUAAUACCGGAUAACAUAUUGAACCGCAUGGUUCAAUAGUGAAAGGCGGCUUUGCUGUCACUUAUAGAUGGAUCCGCGCCGUAUUAGCUAGUUGGUAAGGUAACGGCUUACCAAGGCAACGAUACGUAGCCGACCUGAGAGGGUGAUCGGCCACACUGGAACUGAGACACGGUCCAGACUCCUACGGGAGGCAGCAGUAGGGAAUCUUCCGCAAUGGGCGAAAGCCUGACGGAGCAACGCCGCGUGAGUGAUGAAGGUCUUCGGAUCGUAAAACUCUGUUAUCAGGGAAGAACAAAUGUGUAAGUAACUGUGCACAUCUUGACGGUACCUGAUCAGAAAGCCACGGCUAACUACGUGCCAGCAGCCGCGGUAAUACGUAGGUGGCAAGCGUUAUCCGGAAUUAUUGGGCGUAAAGCGCGCGUAGGCGGUUUUUUAAGUCUGAUGUGAAAGCCCACGGCUCAACCGUGGAGGGUCAUUGGAAACUGGAAAACUUGAGUGCAGAAGAGGAAAGUGGAAUUCCAUGUGUAGCGGUGAAAUGCGCAGAGAUAUGGAGGAACACCAGUGGCGAAGGCGACUUUCUGGUCUGUAACUGACGCUGAUGUGCGAAAGCGU